rnacentral:rRNA from 1 species
GUACACUCCUGCGGGAGGCAGCAGUAGGGAAUCUUCCACAAUGGGUGCAAACCUGAUGGAGCAAUGCCGCGUGAGUGAAGAAGGUCUUCGGAUCGUAAAGCUCUGUUGUUAGAGAAGAACACGUGCUAGGUAACUACUAGCGCCUUGACGGUAUCUAACCAGAAAGUCACGGCUAACUACGUGCCAGCAGCCGCGGUAAUACGUAGGUGACAAGCGUUGUCCGGAUUUAUUGGGCGUAAAGGGAGCGCAGGCGGUCUGUUUAGUCUAAUGUGAAAGCCCACGGCUUAACCGUGGAACGGCAUUGGAAACUGACAGACUUGAAUGUAGAAGAGGAAAAUGGAAUUCCAAGUGUAGCGGUGGAAUGCGUAGAUAUUUGGAGGAACACCAGUGGCGAAGGCGAUUUUCUGGUCUAACAUUGACGCUGAGGCUCGAAAGCGUGGGGAGCGAACAGGAUUAGAUACCCUGGUAGUCCCAU